AUUACACCCCUCAAGCAUAGCUUGGUAUUGGACAUUCGCGGGCCCCUUUAUAGCUCGCGGGUCCGAAAAGCAGUGGCGGUCCCCGAGGAUUUCGCGCGUAGUAAAUAUUAUCCCGCGUUGGAAAGAAUCGUGGGCAUGCCAAAACCCCCAUAAUCUCCAUGAUUGACCUCGGAUCAGGUAGGGAUACCCGCUGAACUUAA
rnacentral:misc_RNA from 1 species